rnacentral:rRNA from 1 species
UACGUAGGGCGCAAGCGUUGUCCGGAAUUAUUGGGCGUAAAGAGCUCGUAGGCGGCUUGUCACGUCGGGUGUGAAAGCCCGGGGCUUAACCCCGGGUCUGCAUUCGAUACGGGCAGGCUAGAGUGUGGUAGGGGAGAUCGGAAUUCCUGGUGUAGCGGUGAAAUGCGUAGAUAUCGGAAGGAACACCAGUGGCGAAAGCGGCUUCCUGGUCCAGCAUCGACGUUCAGGCACGAAAGCGUGGGGAGAAAACAGG